GUCCAGGGAUGGGAAUCGAACCCAACAGUGUUCCGCUUACCAGGCAGAUGCCAUGUCCACUAGGCUACCCUGGA